CGGGGCGGGACUUCCGGCAAGGCGCGGAAGCGGCGGUAGAGGCAGCUGGAGAAGUUGGGCGACUGGCGGAUGCAGGCGGUGCGGCACGUCGUGUGCGCCCUGUCCGGCGGCGUGGACAGCGCCGUGGCCGCGCUGCUGCUGAGGCGGAGAGGUUACCAGGUGACAGGGGUGUUUAUGAAGAACUGGGACUCACUGGAUGAACAUGGGGUCUGUACUGCUGACAAAGACUGUGAAGAUGCUUACAGAGUUUGCCAGAUCUUAGACAUCCCUUUCCAUCAAGUGUCCUACGUAAAGGAGUAUUGGAAUGAUGUGUUCAGUGAUUUUUUGAAUGAGUAUGAAAAAGGAAGGACUCCCAAUCCUGACAUAGUUUGCAACAAGCACAUCAAAUUCAGUUGCUUUUUUCAUUAUGCUGUGGAUAAUCUUGGGGCAGAUGCCAUUGCCACAGGUCACUAUGCAAGAACUUCCCUGGAAGAUGAAGAAGUCUUUGAGCAGAAGCACGUUAAGAAGCCCGAAGGGCUUUUCAGAAAUCGGUUUGAAGUUAGAAAUGCGGUAAAACUCCUCCAGGCAGCCGACAGCUUUAAAGACCAGACCUUCUUUCUCAGCCAGGUUUCCCAGGAUGCCCUGAGGAGAACCAUCUUCCCUCUGGGGGGAUUAACGAAAGAGUUUGUAAAGAAAAUCGCUGCUGAGAAUAGACUUCAUCAUGUGCUUCAGAAGAAAGAGAGCAUGGGCAUGUGUUUCAUCGGGAAGAGGAAUUUUGAACAUUUCCUUCUUCAGUAUUUGCAGCCUCGACCUGGUCACUUUAUUUCCAUAGAAGACAAUAAGGUUCUGGGAACACAUAAAGGUUGGUUCCUGUAUACCUUGGGCCAGAGAGCAAACAUAGGUGGCCUGAGAGAGCCCUGGUAUGUGGUGGAGAAGGACAGCGUCAAGGGUAACGUGUUUGUGGCCCCCCGGACAGACCACCCAGCCCUGUACAGGGACCUGCUGAGGACCAGCCGCGUGCACUGGAUUGCGGAGGAGCCUCCCGCAGCACUGGUCCGGGACAAGAUGAUGGAGUGCCACUUCCGAUUCCGCCACCAGAUGGCACUAGGGCCCCUCUCUUCUACCCAGUGCCCUGUGUGCUGACCCUCAAUCAAGAUGGCACCGUGUGGGUGACAGCUGUGCAGGCUGUGCGUGCCCUUGCCACAGGACAGUUCGCUGUGUUCUACAAGGGGGACGAGUGCCUGGGCAGCGGGAAGAUCCUGCGGCUGGGGCCGUCUGCCUACACACUACAGAAGGGCCAGCGCAGAGCUGGGAUGGCCACUGAAAGCCCCAGUGACAGCCCAGAAGAUGGUCCAGGCCUGAGUCCCUUGCUCUGACAGAGAUGGAGCUGCUAGAAGGAACCUGGAGAGCAGGACCCAGGGCUGGGCCUCUGGUGAGCAGUCCAGGUGCCCAAGGGCCAGCUUGCUGCUGCCCAAAGCAGAGGAAGCCGGGCUGGCCGAGGGUCCGAAAAGCCUGCAGGGGCCCGGCGAGCCCCAGGAAGAGCCUCACCUCCAGGCUGGGGCUCUGGCUGCUGGAGCAUCUGCUGGCUGGUGGGGUGGCCCAAGUUCCCCUUCACCGCCCCCAGGGAGGGUUUCCCACCUCAGAGUACACCGAGGGGACCUGCAGAGGGGGCUGUCGGGACAGCGUGGAAUAAACAUUAUUUCAAGGA